GUGUCAGCAGCCGCGGUAAUACGAAGGGUGCAAGCGUUACUCGGAAUUACUGGGCGUAAAGCGUGCGUAGGCGGUUUGUUAAGUCAGAUGUGAAAUCCCCGGGCUCAACCUGGGAAUGGCAUUUGAUACUGGCGAGCUAGAGUACGGUAGAGGGUGGUGGAAUUCCCGGUGUAGCGGUGAAAUGCGUAGAGAUCGGGAGGAACAUCUGUGGCGAAGGCGGCCACCUGGACCAGUACUGACGCUGAGGCACGAAAGCGUGGGGAGCAAACAGGAUUAGAAACCCCGGUAGUCC
rnacentral:rRNA from 1 species